UUCUUCGCCUUCUACUUUUCUCCUCCUUCACUCUCCCCCUUUCUUUUUCUUUCUCUUCUCCUUCCUUCCCUUUUUCCUCUUUCCCCCUCCCUCCCUCCUUCCCUCCCUCCCUUCCUUCCUUUUUUAGAGACAGACUGAGACUCUGUCUCAAAAAAAAAAAAAGCAAACAACAAAAAAAAAAAAGUGGCUUUUUCCAAAAAAGCAAAUCAGCCUGUGACCCUCUGGGGAGGCCCCACCCUCAGCAUUCUUCCAUUUCCCAAAAGGGGAUAGGGGUUACUAUGGGAACUGAGGAUGGGGGAUGGGACGGGGAGACAGGGGGAGGGGAUCUGGUCUGGGUUGCUGAAGAAUUCCUACCUCUAUCGUAGUAGGAGUGACCCACUCACCCCAGCCUGAGGCCAAGGUGCAAAUGUCCUGCCCUCUCCCUCAGGACUCCUGCCUCCCAUGAGGCAGGUCUUGCCUUGGAGAUAGGGGCUGGGACUAUCCACUUGGGCCAGAAAGAAAGUGAAGGCUUGCCAGGCCCAGUGGUUCACACCUGUCAUCCAUGCUACUUUGGGGAAAGUCCAAGCAGGCAGCAUUCAUUGAGGUCGAUGUUCGACGAGACGAAGCC
rnacentral:lncRNA from 1 species